GUGAGUCAUCGAGUCUUUUGAACGCACCUUGCGCUGUCUGGUAUUCCGGACAGCAUGCCUGUUUGAGUGUCAUGAACUCUUCAACCCACCGGUUUCUUGUUAGAUCGGACGGUGUUUGGAUUUUGAGUGUUGCUGGUCUUCGGACGAAGCUCAUUCAUAAUACAUUAGCAUCUCAAUUUCGAACUUCGGAUUGACUCAGCGUAAUAGACUAUUCGCUGAGGACACCUCACGGUGGCCGAAAUAGAAGACAGUUAGAAGCUCCUAAUCAGAUCUUAGUCAACUUUUUAGACUAGACCUCAGAUCAGGCAGGAUUACCCGCUGAACUUAAGCAUAUCAAUAAGGCGAGG
rnacentral:rRNA from 1 species